rnacentral:rRNA from 1 species
AGAGUUUGAUCCUGGCUCAGAAUCAACGCUGGCGGCGCGCUUAACACAUGCAAGUCGCACGAGAAAGUGGAGCAAUCCAUGAGUAAAGUGGCGUACGGGUGAGUAACACGUGGAUCAUUUACCUCUUGGUGGGGAAUAACCCUGGGAAACCGGGGCUAAUACCGCAUAAGCCUGCGAAGGGAAAGCAGCAAUGCGCCGAGAGAGGAGUCCGCGGCCGAUUAGCUUGUUGGUAGGGUAAUGGCCUACCAAGGCAAUGAUCGGUAGCCGGCCUGAGAGGGCACACGGCCACACUGGCACUGAAACACGGGCCAGACUCCUACGGGAGGCAGCAGUGGGGAAUCUUGCACAAUGGGGGCAACCCUGAUGCAGCGACGCCGCGUGAGCGAUGAAGCCCUUCGGGGUGUAAAGCUCUUUCGGCAGGAAAGAUAAUGACGGUACCUGCAGAAGAAGCUGCGGCUAACUACGUGCCAGCAGCCGCGGUAAUACGUAGGCAGCAAGCGUUGUUCGGAGUUACUGGGCGUAAAGAGUGUGUAGGCGGUUCUCUAAGUUCCGUGUGAAAUCUCCCGGCUCAACUGGGAGGGUGCGCGGAAAACUGGAGGGCUUGAGUAUGGGAGAGGAAAGCGGAAUUCCUGGUGUAGCGGUGAAAUGCGUAGAUAUCAGGAGGAACACCUGCGGUGUAGACAGCUUUCUGGACCAUCACUGACGCUGAGACACGAAAGCGUGGGUAGCAAACAGGAUUAGAUACCCCUGUAGUCC